rnacentral:rRNA from 1 species
GACGAACGCUGGCGGCGUGCUUAACACAUGCAAGUCGAACGGAAAGACCCUGCUCUUGUGGGGUGCUCGAUUGGCGCGCGGGUGAGUAACACGUGAGUAACCUGCCCCUGACUUUGGGAUAACUUCACGAAACUGCGGCUAAUAUCGGGUAGGAGCUCCUGCUGCACGGUGGGGGUUGGUGAAUUUCGGCGGUGGUGGCUCGAUUCGCGGCUUAUCAGCUUGUUGGUGGGGUUGUGGCGUACCAAGGCUUUGACGGGUAGCCGGCAUGGGAGGGGGGCCGGGGACAAGGGGACUAAGAUACGGAGCAGACUCCUACGGGAGGCAGCAGUGGGGAACUUUGCAGAACGGGCGGAAGCCUGAUGCGGCAAUGCCGCGUGCGGAAUGCCGUGUUAUGGGUUAAAAACCGAUGUGUAAUUAGACGAAGAGUGAGUGACGGUAAUGAGUAAGGAAGCACCGGCUAACUACGUG